AUGUUUCUAUUAUAAAAAGCAAAUCUAUUUUCCAAAUAAAAAUCAAUAAAAAUCGGUAACAUA
rnacentral:tRNA from 1 species